AGUUUGAUCCUGGCUCAGGGAUGAACGCUGGCGGCGCGCCUAAUACAUGCAAGUCGAACGAGGUGCUUUGUAGCAAUACGAGAGUAUCCUAGUGGCGAACGGGUGAGUAACGCGUUGGUGACCUACCCCAAAGUGUGGGAUAACAGUCCGAAAGGAUUGCUAAUACCGCAUGUGGUCUUCGGGUUUAGAAACUGAUGACUAAAGGAGCAAUUCGCUUUGGGAGGGACCUGCGUCCCAUCAGCUAGUUGGUGAGGUAAUGGCUCACCAAGGCUACGACGGGUAGGGGACCUGAGAGGGUGACCCCCCACAAUGGAACUGAAACACGGUCCAUACACCUACGGGUGGCAGCAGUAGGGAAUAUUGCACAAUGGGCGAAAGCCUGAUGCAGCAACGCCGCGUGUGCGAUGAAGGCCUUCGGGUCGUAAAGCACUUUUCUGGGAGAUGAGCAAGGACAGUAUCUCAGGAAUAAGUCUCGGCUAACUACGUG
rnacentral:rRNA from 1 species